rnacentral:rRNA from 1 species
UACGAAGGGGGCUAGCGUUGUUCGGAAUUACUGGGCGUAAAGCGCACGUAGGCGGUUCUAUAAGUCAGGGGUGAAAUCCCGGGGCUCAACCUCGGAACUGCCUUUGAUACUGUAGAUCUCGAGUCCGAUAGAGGUGAGUGGAAUUCCGCGUGUAGCAGUGAAAUGCGUAGAGAUGCGGAGGAACACCGAUGGCGAAGGCAGCCCCCUGGGCUAACACUGACGCUCAGGCACGAAAGCGUGGGGAGCAAACAGG